rnacentral:lncRNA from 1 species
AUAAAUCAGAGGAAAGUAAAUAGACCAAGAUGAUCUUUAUAAAACUCCUGCAAGUGUUAAGUGUGAUUGAACAACAGCAUAACACUUUCCUAACCGAUUCCCACAGGUCCUCUCGCCGUUGUCUGACUCCAUCCUGGCUGAGAAGACGGUGAUUGUCCUGGAUGACCGAGUCGCCAUCGUGGAGCUGGGAGUGCAGCUCGUAGCUGGCAUGUCUCUCUCCCUGCAGCCACACCGAGCAGACAAAAGGGCCAUCGUCUCCACAGCCGCUGCCCUGGAUGUUCUUCUGUCCCCACAGCAGACACACUGUGAAAUGCAUAAUAUUGGCUGGGAUCCUCGGUGGUGGUGCACGGUGCAGGGAUUCAAUGAGUGGAAAUGAGUCGGAUCUGUUGUCUGAGGCGUGUGCAGACUGUGCCUUCCCCAGAAGCUGGAACCUCGACAGAGAUCCCAUUCUGGAAGCCACCUAGGAAAGGACAUCCCUGUGCACAGAAUGGAAUGGAGCGAAGUUCAGCUUCUUUGUCAUUGGACCCCUAAAGGAGCCUCUCACUGGGUCCUGGGCCCGCCCACCAAGCAUGGAAGAGCAUUAGCACUUCAAAGUUGCAUUGGUAAUACCCAUUGUUAGUUCCAGUGUAAGAAAUUAAGGUGCUUUGAGAAAAGAGUAAGGGCAAAUAAGCCACAAGGAAAACAAAGCAGGAAACUCCAUAUGAUUUUAUAUUUUUCUAUUCUCAGUUCAAAGCAGAGGCCCCUCAGAGAUGAACACUAGGUACAGAACAAGACUCCUGUCAACCACACUUAGUUCAAGCUGAAGGAACCCGGCCUCUCUUUGCUAAUGUGUUAUUGAAAAUUGGCAUUGCUCAUCAUUAUGGAAACAAAAUUCCCAACACCAUAAUGUUAGUUCAAAGAAGGAAAACAGCAAUCAUUUCCAACACUGUUGAUUUGGAACCCAUUGUUUAAUUCCUCAUGAAUUAAAGCAAAAGACAAUCAGAAAGGCAAUUACCAGUAAGAACUAAAGGUAUCGGCUUCAUUUAUUAUAAAAUAUAAUAAAUUUAAACUUAAUUUAAAAAUCCAAAUGUGGGUUAAGCUUUUGUUUUUCAUUCCUUGAACAAUUUAAAGUUUUAAUAUAAAUAUCUUCUGCUGCAAACAAGACCCUAGAGUCACAGAAGUUUCAGGCUUAAAUCUGCGAGUGUUUCUUUGGCACGUUUAGCUGAGAAUAUGAGAUGGGAAAUGUAUGUGAUUUUAUUCAAUGGGUUCUGAUUAUGUAAUAAAGGGCAAAGGCCUGGGAAACUUUCACAUUUCACUUCCCUGUGUUGGGAUUAAUUUAAUAGUAUCCACUUUCCUGCCCAGAUAAUAAGCUAAAUUCCCAACUGCCCACUUGAAAAAAAUAUGUAUAUAUCUGAGUGCAUGUGUGUAUUACAUAUACAAUUUAGUCUCUGAAUAUACAGAACACUCAAAUCAAGCAGUUGGUUGUGUUAUGAUUUGUAACAUUUUUGGUAUUUAGCAUAAAAAUCAUCUUCUAAAAAAGAGUGUAUAGUCAUUGUAAAUAAUGUUUGAGAAUUGAAGUUCUUGAGGAUUUUGAUAAAAUAUAUUUUUAAAAGAAGGAAUAUGUGUAUUCCAUAUCAAUAUAAAAAAAUUGUAUGUAUUAUACAAUAUGUAUUGUAUUUAUAUAUUGUGUAAAUACAAUGUAUUUAUGUAUU